AGUUGCUACGAACAAGUUACUAAGGAGCCUCAAGAAAAUCGACAAACAUUUUGAGGAAGUAGCAAUUGAAAUAAUUCAAUUUUUGAGGCCUCAGCGCCACUUUCUAGUAACAACUUAAGAAAGUGAAGCAUCGAAAUUCUACAACCAUCAUCAGUGCAAGAUAUAAUCAAGAGUUUGACAUAUACAGUCAGCAAGAGUCACACCAGAAUCCAGAAACUGCCCAGAUCCAGAAACUAGCGUCUGUCUUCCGACAACGAAAACCAUCUGCGUCACGUGGAUUCUCUGCGCAAAGUAGCUGAUCUUGAAUGCAUUUUGUUCAAAAUUGUGACGUAUUUUAAGGGCCGUUAUCUUGCUGCAACCAAACACAAAUCGAUAGCGCCUCGCUGAUGUAUCCGGUGAGGGUAAAGUGCCUAUAACCAGAUUAGAAAGCUAACGAAACUGAAUUUCGGAUUAAUUUUUUUGAAAUGUUUCCAACAUUACGGAUGAGAUAUCGUCAUUUUGGGUCUAGGCACUCUAGGUGAGAUCAUCAUUUGACGUUCAUAUACGAAUCUUUUACCAUUGUUCAAUGGACACAUUUUUAUGUUGAUUUACCCGUUGGACUUGUUUACAAACGUUAACUGGUGACUUAUAUCAUUGUACAUUCAAUAAAACAUUAAAAAUUGA